UAUCUUAAUCUUCGCGUCGAUAAUUCUUCAAAUUAUCGACGCGUUCCCAUCCCUAGCCAGCGAAGCGGUCUUUUGUUCUUGUCCCCACUAUCGCGGCAGCCCCACUCGGUGACCACUGGCUCUCGAUCAUUCGGCCACGGGCUACGGCAUCGACUGCGCGUGACCCUACCUCACGGCAGUCCUCUAGGUGCCUAGCCCGCUCUAAAGUGUCGAAUGACCUAGACCUUACCAGUGGUACCUUGUGCGUGUCUUCCCCAAUAUCGGGGUCCAAGGUCCACGCUACUACUCCAAGGUCCACGGUACGGUUUACCGACUGCACCGAACUUCUACCUACUUCUACGGCUCGCCCUCUACGUGCUGGUUCGGCAACCCCCUACCUUCGUGUUGCUGACCACGCCGCGCAGCCGAGCUACACGCCACGCGCACGCAACGGCCACGUGACCUGCCUGCCUACCUACCUGGGCACUGGAGAAGAGGACUUCCACGCCGGUCGCGUUAUCGGGAUUCCACGCCGAUACUCUUCGACUCAGGGGAGUCCCUAUCCGUACCAACUGAAAACUGACUGAUCGUGUAGUGUAGGCCUAACCCACACGUUGACCUAAAAAUAAAUUUGUGUCAAGCUGAA